rnacentral:rRNA from 1 species
GCUUCUCUUGAGAGCGGCGGACGGGUGAGUAAUGCCUAGGAAUCUGCCUGGUAGUGGGGGAUAACGUCCGGAAACGGACGCUAAUACCGCAUACGUCCUACGGGAGAAAGCAGGGGACCUUCGGGCCUUGCGCUAUCAGAUGAGCCUAGGUCGGAUUAGCUAGUUGGUGGGGUAAUGGCUCACCAAGGCGACGAUCCGUAACUGGUCUGAGAGGAUGAUCAGUCACACUGGAACUGAGACACGGUCCAGACUCCUACGGGAGGCAGCAGUGGGGAAUAUUGGACAAUGGGCGAAAGCCUGAUCCAGCCAUGCCGCGUGUGUGAAGAAGGUCUUCGGAUUGUAAAGCACUUUAAGUUGGGAGGAAGGGCAGUUGCCUAAUACGUAACUGUUUUGACGUUACCGACAGAAUAAGCACCGGCUAACUCUGUGCCAGCAGCCGCGGUAAUACAGAGGGUGCAAGCGUUAAUCGGAAUUACUGGGCGUAAAGCGCGCGUAGGUGGUUUGUUAAGUUGGAUGUGAAAUCCCCGGGCUCAACCUGGGAACUGCAUUCAAAACUGACUGACUAGAGUAUGGUAGAGGGUGGGUGGAAUUUCCUGUGUAGCGGUGAAAUGCGUAGAUAUAGGAAGGAACACCAGUGGCGAAGGCGACCACCUGGACUAAUACUGACACUGAGGUGCGAAAGCGUGGGGAGCAAACAGGAUUAGAUACCCUGGUAGUCCACGCCGU